CUACAGGCUUAACACAUGCAAGUCGAGGGGCAGCAUGAACUUAGCUUGCUAAGUUUGAUGGCGACCGGCGCACGGGUGAGUAACACGUAUCCAACCUGCCGAUGACUCGGGGAUAGCCUUUCGAAAGAAAGAUUAAUACCCGAUGGCAUAGUUCUUCCGCAUGGUAGAACUAUUAAAGAAUUUCGGUCAUCGAUGGGGAUGCGUUCCAUUAGGUUGUUGGCGGGGUAACGGCCCACCAAGCCUUCGAUGGAUAGGGGUUCUGAGAGGAAGGUCCCCCACAUUGGAACUGAGACACGGUCCAAACUCCUACGGGAGGCAGCAGUGAGGAAUAUUGGUCAAUGGACGAGAGUCUGAACCAGCCAAGUAGCGUGAAGGAUGACUGCCCUAUGGGUUGUAAACUUCUUUUAUACGGGAAUAAAGUGAGGCACGUGUGCCUUUUUGUAUGUACCGUAUGAAUAAGGAUCGGCUAACUCCGUGCCAGCAGCCGCGGUAAUACGGAGGAUCCGAGCGUUAUCCGGAUUUAUUGGGUUUAAAGGGAGCGUAGGCGGACGCUUAAGUCAGUUGUGAAAGUUUGCGGCUCAACCGUAAAAUUGCAGUUGAUACUGGGUGUCUUGAGUACAGUAGAGGCAGGCGGAAUUCGUGGUGUAGCGGUGAGAUGCUUAGAUAUCACGAAGAACUCCGAUUGCGAAGGCAGCUUGCUGGACUGUAACUGACGCUGAUGCUCGAAAGUGUGGGUAUCAAACAGGAUUAGAUACCCUGGUAGUCCACACAGUAAACGAUGAAUACUCGCUGUUUGCGAUAUACAGUAAGCGGCCAAGCGAAAGCGUUAAGUAUUCCACCUGGGGAGUACGCC
rnacentral:rRNA from 1 species